UACUGUGAAAUGUAAGUGAAAAGUGCAAGUUGUAUUACCGUCAUUAAUCCUGCUGUGAGAAGCUGAAGAUAGAUACAUAUAUUUUUAGAAUGUGUAAUUAAAAUUGAUUUGUAAUUUUACUUGCUUAUACACGUUAUAUUCAUUCACAUAAUCUUAAAUAUCAAAUUAAACGAUGUAACUUGCAUUUUCAAUAAUGUAACAUAACAGAAAUGAAAUAUUAGCCUGUAGAUGUUAAUACGUUUAUGGAAAAUUUAAACGCGCAAAGAUAUGUAGAAUGCACAUAAAAUGCAAUAACAUAUCUACAAGAUAAUCAAAGUAAAACAUUUCCUGUAAAGGAUAAAACAUAAAUCGCAAAUAAUCGCGGUUCGUAAAAAACAGAGAAGAAAUACGAAAUAACACGUUCACGUUCGAGACAUAGUUCUUGAGAAAAUCGCGUUUGAAACCUUGUUGUUUUUCCAAAAAUUAUGAAACUCGGACUUGGUGAUUCCAAUUGUGUCGCUAAUAAUCCAUUACAGUAGUUGAUGCAACUGUAAACAGUCAAUUAAAAGAGAAAAAAACGUGGUAUAUCUUUCGAUCACUCGUUACGACCUACUAGUAGCUACUUGUCGACUUUGCGUGCCACUAGUUCACCAAAUAGAAAAAGAAAAUACUCGAAGCUCACGACCACUAAUUUCUUUUCCAAUUAACGACAGCCUCAAGGGUAUCACGAACGACCACGUCGUAUACAUUGGUCACUGGUUUAGUACUUGAAUCGGUCGUAUGGACCGUAUCGAUCCAAGAAUCAAGACUCAAAGGAGAGAGCGACUCUCGGUACUAAGUGCGUAAUUGAAUAAAUAUAUCUCACGCUACGUCGAUCAAACUGCGAGUCGGUGGCAAUAAAAUGCAUCGAUGUAAGUCACACGUGUACGCCUAGAGGCGAUCGGACUAAAUGCUCCAAAUCUAUUGAAUGUAAAAAGAAUUACGAAAAUACUAGAUAUUUUCUCCAAUCUCGGUAAAUACAUGACACACAUAAUUGAAAAAAGAAUAACUCGAUACAAAAACAAGCCAUAAGUCCUUAACACAAUCAAAGUUACUUUAUCGAACAACGGAUCGUAUAAGUUAUAUUAUAUUUCUCCGAGGAAAGCUUAGAUUUCCACCUCCACUUGCCACAAAUAGUUGUUUAGACGUUCUACUUUUCCACAAAACACAUAUGCUCGCACCAUAAAUCUACUGUAACCAUAAUGCAAGUUCUUUAUCAUAGUGCAGGUUUAUAAAUGGCAACUUCUACAAUUUCUAAUUGGCAGUAAUUCCUAAAAGACUGGAUCGCGAUCGAGUUUCGUCGAUGCAUCCAUCAUUGAUGUCGCGGCAAUAGUAACGUGAGAGUGUUACGUUGCAGUUUGAUCAAAAUGUGCAUUCGAUUGGUACUUUCCAACGAACCUGUGUAUCGCCUUUUACAACUUGUAUCGGAGAUCGGAAGAACAUUGUUUCAUUGAAACCGAUACUUUGAAUGCUUUCGAAAGCAUUGUUCUACUUAGAAAGGUUGUUCAAGGUACGAAUGAGAUCUUGUGUGACAAAAGCAAGGUAAUCAAUUCUCGGAGAAAGGACAAUUCUAUUCCGGAGUAUGUCAUAAACUAUUCAUGAGAACAUGUAUGUGUUGGUGAGAAAGUAACAUUUUCCGAUCGUACUGAGAAAAUCAGUUCCAAACGAAUGCUAUAUCGUCGUUUACGAUAAAGUCAUUUUAUGAGGAUAAUGUUCCUUGUUUACGAAAUAUUCUACAUUUCCGUAAAUGGCAGAUGGUUCGAGUGUCAAAUAGGCAGAUCUAGGAAGAGUGUCCAUAAUUCGUGGAUAGAAACUGCUUGUCAGGUUGAUAAGGUAUUCCCCUUGUGAUCAUGGCGCGAAAGUUUAUGCAGUAACGGUAUUUACUAGAGUGCGAUCGGGAUAACCCGAGGUAUUACAUGUUACUGGAUGAUUAAAUGUGCGUACUAUAGCUAACUGAAAAAAUGAAUGUUUCGCGUUGUCUGUAUCUGUAGAAAUUUAUAUAACUGGCGGGGUAGCCGCAAUUUUUACCUUUUACAGAAUUCUGAUCGAUAAUAAUUGAUAGUUCGACCUAACCUUAACUUAACUCCAAUCUAGUAAAACAGAGUAUUGUGGCGGCACUCGACAGCAACUACCACCGGACGACGGCAGCUCAGUGAUUAGCGCCUUUGGUUAUGAACGUUUGGGACCCGGGUUCAGAUCCCGGCGCCCGUAGUCCGAUUUUUCUUCCACGACACAAAAAUGAGAAGAAAAGCAGCAGUACUCCAGCAACGGCAUCUACACCAGAGCAGCAUUAUCACCACUACAAUAAUACCACCUCAAAUUGGUGGCCUCCGACGUGGUCUGAAGCAAAAAAGUGUGACCGUGAUAGUGCUACUGAGACUCUAACUGCCGCGAAUUAAAACUGCUGCGUAUGUUGAGGACGUAAGGAUGAGUACACCAGCCACUGAACGGUAUGAAAAAUUAAAAGGCGAGAUCAUCCGAGAACUGGACUGAUUUGCUGUAGGUACCGACUAUCGAGGCAUUUGGCGAGGGUCACAAAUUUUACUUUGUCUUCCGUGAUAUCCGCGGCCUCGAAUUGCAUCUCCAAUAAGGUGAACCAUGCCGUAAUGUCCGGGGGCUGCAGUGGGGGGCAUACUGACCAUCUGGUUGGCUGUGCAUCUGCUAUUCGCGGCCUCAUCACGUCGGGGUCACCAAUUUGAGGUUGAUAGUUGACUAGAGCUCCGCGACGCAUCCUGAGCAAUCAUCGUCCGAACUCGCUCCGUGUACUCUGUUCGAUCGACAUCGUAUCGCACCGUCUAGAAAUCGAACUUGUAACCGCGAACCGCUAGUGCAAUCGUGAGCUCCACGCGAAGUGUAUAUUAGGAGUGUUGUUAAUAAACAUACUGUUAAUUAUACUCUAGUACUUCUUCAGUACCUAUCACGACCUAUCCACCUCAGUACAAAUGACGUUGACAAUAAUAUUUCGCUUCUCGACUUUCCCAUGUCCAUUAAUCGAGUCAUAAACGCGGGAAA